rnacentral:rRNA from 1 species
CGCCGCGCGCGGCGGGCUACGGGAGGCAGCAGUGGGGAAUAUUGCACAAUGGGCGCAAGCCUGAUGCAGCCAUGCCGCGUGUAUGAAGAAGGCCUUCGGGUUGUAAAGUACUUUCAGCGGGGAGGAAGGUGUUGAGGUUAAUAACCUCAGCAAUUGACGUUACCCGCAGAAAGCACCGGCUAACUCCGU